rnacentral:lncRNA from 7 species
AGCCAGUUCAAGAGACAUACAGCCAAGAACACAGUCUAUCCAUGCUCUUCUAUUGGAGUGAUAAGAAGUGAUGUUGCAAAGCACUCUCCACACUUUGAGGAGGCUCUUUUAGCUUCAAGGGGCAAGAAAGAACAUUUAGCCCUCCACAUGGGCUCUGCUCCUCUGGGGCAUGCCUGGAGAGGCAAAACUUCCUAAAAGGCCAGCUAUGUUCCUGGGCAGAUUGUAACAUGAAGGAUAGAAGCAGGCUGAAAUAGCUUACCAAGGGUUAUUUGAUGUGAAAUGUGAAACAUAAGCAUGACUUCUGAUUUAAAAGAUAUGAAACAUGGUUUCAUUUUGUGGAUCUCAUGAAUGUGCUGAGAUCUGCUUCCAUCAGCUGUGAGUCCUUUCACAUGGAAAACAGAGGCACAACUAAACCCAAAGAGAUGAACUUGUCCCACAUGCAGCUUCAUCAGGGAUGCAUUUGGCCCAAUAUAUGUAUUGAUUUUUGUGAACUAGUAGGUUCUUUCCAAGUGAAUGGAAAUGGAAGCAAACCAUGAAAAUGCUGUUAAAAAAAGACAUCAUUCUGUUGUUAAAUCACUGUGGCAACUAGAUUCUUUGGUUAGAGAAUUUGCAGGGACACUAUCAACUUCUGUGCCUGCAAACUCUGGGUACUCCUGGAAACAAAUCAAAUAUGGAGAGAUGAAACUUGUUUGGGAAACAACAGGCAAGAGUUCCAUACAUAUUUAAAUGCCUGGAGAAGCAGUGAGACUCCUAUAGAGACUUUGAAAUGUGCUCCCAAGUCAUGGCAGUGUAAGGGAGAAGGGAUGGAAGGGGUCAAUCAUAGAAGUAAGAUGCCAACAUUCAACAGCUGAAAUCCCUUUAAUGAGAUGUCAUUUUAAGGAAUAGUAUACCAAGUUCUUGAAGGAUAUGAAGGAGAGCAUGUUUUUCUUGAAGCACAGGACCUGAAGUGCUGAGUGCAUCACCAGGAAGCAUCAGUGUGAAACAAUUGGCUCUGAAGCCUUGGCUUAUCCAGUCCCGCAGUUACCUUGAACCAUAUUUUUCAGCCAAGUCAAAGAAGCAACAGCAAAGGAGGGAGAGAAUGAGAAAGAGAGCAGAUGAGAAGGACUCAUAAACCUUGAGAAAUAUCAGAGAAGCAUCUUUGUGGGAUGGUGUGGGACCAGGAUGCUCAGCUGUGUUACCUCAGCAUGGACAAGUUGGGAUGAAUGUGUCCUGUUUCAGAGAAGAUAGAUGGCAUGCAGGUACCUUUAUCACACAGAUUGAGAGAUACUUACGCAUUUCUACAUAGAGAUACAAAACCUGACUAGGAGGGAAGAUUUGGAAGACAUCCAACACUGCAUAGCUGGGGUUGGUUGUAUUUGUACACAGUUAGAAUGAAAAUCAAUGUUCAAACUUUGCUCUUAUGCACACCGGCCAACUCUGCUCAAGGCUGAAGCAGCCAUACAUGCAGCUUUGGCAACAUAUAACAUAGCUGAGGACAGGAACUGUAUAAAGCCAGGGGAUGAUGAUAACUCGCCCAGACUGCAGGGCACUGGCCACUG